rnacentral:rRNA from 1 species
UACGGGGGGGGCAAGCGUUGUUCGGAAUUACUGGGCGUAAAGGGUUCGUAGGUGGCUCGCUAAGUCAGACGUGAAAUCCCUCAGCUUAACUGGGGAACUGCGUCUGAGACUGGUGAGCUUGAGUGCAGGAGAGGAACGCGGAAUUCCAGGUGUAGCGGUGAAAUGCGUAGAGAUCAGGAGGAAGACCAGUGGCGAAGGCGGGUCUCUGGACAGUUCCUGACACUGAGGCACGAAGGCCAGGGGAGCAAACGGG